GACGACGCUGGCGGCAGGCUUAACACAUGCAAGUCGAGCGCCCUGCUUGCAGGGAGCGGCAGACGGGUGAGUAACGCGUGGGAACGUGCCCUUCGGUACGGAAUAGCCCCGGGAAACUGGGUGUAAUACCGUAUACGACCUCCGGGUGAAAGAUUUAUCGCCGAAGGAUCGGCCCGCGUUGGAUUAGCUUGAUGGUGGGGUAACGGCCUACCAUGGCGACGAUCCAUAGCUGUUCUGAGAGGAAGAUCAGCCACACUGGGACUGAGACACGGCCCAGACUCCUACGGGAGGCAGCAGUGGGGAAUAUUGGACAAUGGGCGAAAGCCUGAUCCAGCCAUGCCGCGUGGAUGAAGAAGGCCCUAGGGUUGUAAAGUCCUUUCGGCGGUGAAGAUAAUGACGGUAACCACAAAAGAAGCCCCGGCUAAUUUCGUG
rnacentral:rRNA from 1 species